AGAGUUUGAUCCUGGCUCAGGAUGAACGCUGGCGGCGUGCCUAAUACAUGCAAGUCGAACGCACUGAUUUUAUCAGUGAGUGGCGAACGGGUGAGUAAUACAUAAGUAACCUGCCCUCAUGAGGGGGAUAACUAUUAGAAAUGAUAGCUAAGACCGCAUAGGUGAAGGGGUCGCAUGACCGCUUCAUUAAAUAUCCGUAUGGAUAGCAGGAGGAUGGACUUAUGGCGCAUUAG
rnacentral:rRNA from 1 species